rnacentral:lncRNA from 1 species
GCUGCGAGCUUGCGAUUUCCUGGCGUCGCUCUCUUAGAAGACUUUUUCCUUCUCCAGUCCUUGAAACGCAGCGUCUCAAGGAAAAGUAGCGUGGAACUUGGUGUUUCCUGCCGACAAGCCUUUGCACCUACGAUUUAACGGUAAUUUUGCAGUCCUCAACUUUUCUUGGCGCUGAUGUGGAAGAAAUCGGAGUUGUCUUUCCUUUUGGGGGUUCGUUUCUUUUCUUUUUUUCCCCCCAUUGACUGUUGGCUUUUUGUCAACCGGGAGUCGACAGCUUUUGAAUAAGCCAGUGACAACUUUGACUUUAGGUAAUAAUCGCUAGGUAUUGUGGAGUCCACGUUAAACACUCAUGAGAUCUUGUAUCGCUUUCCUCCCUCAGCACCCCUAGAUUAACCCUUAGCUAAUGUGAGGUCCUGCGGGAGGGUCGCACGAACCUGGCUCACAAAUCCUCCGCAGAUGCUUUGGCAGCAGCUUCUCAGUUAUUCGCUGAGGAAUAAGGCUUCUUGGGAACCUCAGUGACCUGCUAUUCCGAGCAGGCCCCCUACAGAGCUUUCUCCCUCUGGAAUUUUAUCAGAACCCUGGAUUUGGUUUGUGUCUGUGAAAACUGGGACCCGCCCUCAUUUAGAUCCCUUCCAGAAGA